GAUGAACGCUGGCGGCGUGCUUAACACAUGCAAGUCGAACGAAGAUGCCGGAGUGCUUGCACUUUGGCAGACUGAGUGGCGGACGGGUGAGUAACGCGUGGGUAACCUGCCUUAUACAGGGGGAUAACAGUUGGAAACGACUGCUAAUACCGCAUAAGCGCACGGUAUCGCAUGAUACAGUGUGAAAAACUCCGGUGGUAUAAGAUGGACCCGCGUCUGAUUAGCUUGUUGGUGAGGUAACGGCCCACCAAGGCGACGAUCAGUAGCCGGCCUGAGAGGGUGAACGGCCACAUUGGGACUGAGACACGGCCCAAAAUCCUACGGGAGGCAGCAGUGGGGAAUAUUGCACAAUGGGCGAAAGCCUGAUGCAGCGACGCCGCGUGAGCGAAGAAGUAUUUCGGUAUGUAAAGCUCUAUCAGCAGGGAAGAUAAUGACGGUACCUGACUAAGAAGCACCGGCUAAAUACGUGCCAGCAACCG
rnacentral:rRNA from 1 species